AGAAACAGAUGAAGAAAGAGAGAGAGUUACAUUGAUUCUGUUAUAUUGAGAUGAGUAAAACAGUCGGACAUAUAUUGCUUUGGUUUGGCGUGAGUCAUCACUACGAAUUAGACUGAUGCUGUAACAAGAGGCUGACUUGGGAUGAAGGUAAAUGUGGAGGAAAAACAUUCGGGCUCUCUGAUUUAUCUUUACAAGUUUAAGUUCAUCUUGAUGUUAAAACAGAACUUUAUAUGUCUGCGGUAACCUAAGGGCAAGGAGAUGUCAUUCUGUGAUGGCUGAUGAUCAUGGUUUUUUUCUGUAAACAUCUUUUGAAUUAUUAAUAAGAUAGAUAUAAUGAGUAUGCAUACCAAGGAAGAUUACAGAUGAAAGGAAUU